CCUACGGGAGGCAGCAGUGAGGAAUAUUGGUCAAUGGCCGAGAGGCUCAACCAGCCAAGUCGCGUGAGGGAAGAAUGUCCUAUGGAUUGUAAACCUCUUUUGUCAGGGAGCAAAGUCACCCACGUGUGGGUGUUGGAGAGUACCUGAAGAAAAAGCAUCGGCUAACUCCGUGCCAGCAGCCGCGGUAAUACGGAGGAUGCGAGCGUUAUCCGGAUUUAUUGGGUUUAAGGGGUGCGUAGGCGGGUUAUCAAGUCAGCGGUAAAAUCGUGGAGCUCAACUCCAUCCAGCCGUUGAAACUGAUGAUCUUGAGUGGGCGAGAAGUAUGCGGAAUGCGUGGUGUAGCGGUGAAAUGCAUAGAUAUCACGCAGAACUCCGAUUGCGAAGGCAGCAUACCGGCGCCCGACUGACGCUGAAGCACGAAAGCGUGGGUAUCGAACAGGAUUAGAUACCCUUGUAGUC
rnacentral:rRNA from 1 species